UCGCGAAUCAGCAUGUCGCGGUGAAUACGUUCCCGGGCCUUGUACACACCGCCCGUCACACCAUGAGAGUUGGCAAUACCCAACGUACGUGAUCUAACCCGCAAGGGAGGAAGCGUCCUAAGGUAGGGUCAGCGAUUGGGGUGAAGUCGUAACAAGGUAAC
rnacentral:rRNA from 1 species